rnacentral:lncRNA from 1 species
AUUCCCUCCAACCUUUGAGUGAUUUGGACUUAAAGCUAGCCAUUUGUGACCGUUGGAGGUGGAAACUAGCCGUUAGAAAUUUUUUCUGAUCGAAAAAUCAUAUAUGAAAAAUUAUCUGUUGAAACUGUCAGACAUUGUCGAGUCAGCUCAGAUUGACCUCGAGUCGGCUCGAACAGUAUUUCUCAAAAUUUCAACAUUCUGUUUGAUUGAGAG